GCAGCCAUCAUUUAAAGAAAGCGUAAUAGCUCACUGGUCGAGUCGGCCUGCGCGGAAGAUGUAACGGGGCUAAACCAUGCACCGAAGCUGCGGCAGCGACGCUUAUGCGUUGUUGGGUAGGGGAGCGUUCUGUAAGCCUGUGAAGGUGGCCUGUGAGGGUUGCUGGAGGUAUCAGAAGUGCGAAUGCUGACAUAAGUAACGAUAAAGCGGGUGAAAAGCCCGCUCGCCGGAAGACCAAGGGUUCCUGUCCAACGUUAAUCGGGGCAGGGUGAGUCGACCCCUAAGGCGAGGCCGAAAGGCGUAGUCGAUGGGAAACGGGUUAAUAUUCCCGUACUUGGUGUUACUGCGAAGGGGGGACGGAGAAGGCUAUGUUGGCCGGGCGACGGUUGUCCCGGUUUAAGCGUGUAGGUGUGUGUUCCAGGUAAAUCCGGUUCACUUUAACACUGAGGCGUGACGACGAGGCACUACGGUGCUGAAGCAACAAAUGCCCUGCUUCCAGGAAAAGCCUCUAAGCAUCAGGUAACAUCAAAUCGUACCCCAAACCGACACAGGUG
rnacentral:rRNA from 1 species